UACGUAGGGGGCAAGCGUUGUUCGGAAUUACUGGGCGUAAAGCGCGUGUAGGCGGUCUGGCAAGUCAGAUGUGAAAGCCCCGGGCUCAACUUGGGAACUGCAAUGGAAACUGGCGGGCUUGAAUGCGGCAGAGGGGGGUGGAAUUCCGCGUGUAGCAGUGAAAUGCGUAGAGAUGCGGAGGAACACCGAUGGCGAAGGC
rnacentral:rRNA from 1 species